GGGAGCACGCUUAGGCGUGUGACUGCGUACCUUUUGUAUAAUGGGUCAGCGACUUAUAUUCUGUAGCAAGGUUAACCGAAUAGGGGAGCCGAAGGGAAACCGAGUCUUAACUGGGCGUUAAGUUGCAGGGUAUAGACCCGAAACCCGGUGAUCUAGCCAUGGGCAGGUUGAAGGUUGGGUAACACUAACUGGAGGACCGAACCGACUAAUGUUGAAAAAUUAGCGGAUGACUUGUGGCUGGGGG
rnacentral:rRNA from 1 species